rnacentral:tRNA from 1 species
GCGUUCGUAGCUCAGUUGGAUAGAGCGUUGGCUUGCGGAGCCAAAGGUCGCAGGUUCGAUUCCUGCCGGACGCACCA